AGUGAACGCUGGCGGUAGGCCUAACACAUGCAAGUCGAACGGCAGCACAGUAAGAGCUUGCUCUUACGGGUGGCGAGUGGCGGACGGGUGAGGAAUACAUCGGAAUCUACUUUUUCGUGGGGGAUAACGUAGGGAAACAUACGCUAAUACCGCAUACGACCUACGGGUGAAAGCAGGGGAUCUUCGGACCUUGCGCGAUUGAAUGAGCCGAUGUCGGAUUAGCUAGUUGGUGGGGUAAAGGCCCGCCAAGGCGACGAUCCGUAGCUGGUCUGAGAGGAUGAUCAGCCACACUGGAACUGAGACACGGUCCAGACUCCUACGGGAGGCAGCAGUGGGGAAUAUUGGACAAUGGGCGCAAGCCUGAUCCAGCCAUGCCGCGUGGGUGAAGAAGGCCUUCGGGUUGUAAAGCCCUUUUGUUGGGAAAGAAGAGCAGCAGGUUAAUACCCCGCUGUUCUGACGGUACCCAAAGAAUAAGCACCGGCUAACUUCGUG
rnacentral:rRNA from 1 species